UAGUGUGAACCAGUCGGUGGUGUAGCUCCGCGGUAUCAUAAUACCAAACGCCUAUUUGUUAGACGAUAAAUAUGUAACUGUAACACAAUGUCUCUCGUCCCCUGGUAUAGCCGUGGCUGGGGCCCACCGUGGCCCAGCGUGGCGUGUAUCGAGGGGGGUUUCCCUGCGAAGUGUUAACCUCGGCCGGGAUGAUGACUGGGGGGCGCGGUGUGCGACAUUAAAUCAUAUACGUGCUCGCAUUUUCGGUAGCUGUUCCACUUACUUUCUGGCGUGUAUGCGUAUACCGCGUGUCUCCCACUGGUUACGCAGCGCGAACCCACGGGGAUAGUGGAUAGUUGGGAGCAUUUUGCGAUCGAUGACAGAGGAAGAGACGCGGGCCACGAAGCGUGCAUACAUCAACGACUCCGCUUCCGGUCUGUUAUUAAGGCACCGCAAUUGGUAGAGAACGCGUGUAGAAUGCGUUUCGUGAUCCCCGAUGCUCUGGCUGUGGGAGUGACUGCACCUGUCUUGACCGCUGAAUCGUCCCGAACGCCUUGUAUGAAGCAUAAGGGCGGAUAUUCGUUGAUCCACGGGGUCCACCGGAUGAAGACAUCAAUUACGAAUUAACGACCAGAAAGGGAUGGCGCAGAUUUUUACCGGUCGCUUCAUAAAUCCAACUUCAGAAUUCGGCGCGGUUCACGAACUCAACGGAGGACCCACGGUCCGCCUUUUUUUCGGAGUUAAUAACGUCUCUAUCAGCAGAACGCAGCGGCUUGGCGCGGCGCGUUUCGCAGCCCGAGGUGUAUAUACACCUACCUGGCCGAAAGCGCGGUACCUUUGCAUCAUUUAAUAUUUAAAAACAAGCCAUAAAUAUGUCGCCUUCUGCGUGCUUUAAAACGCGGCCGCUGCGCUGGAUUAUAAUAUGGGCGCGAGCGCGAGCGCGCGUCGCAUCGCGUCGCCCGAAAGCAAGACGAAUGCUGUGUUGAAACCCGGCGAGGUGUUAAUGACACCGGCGUGUCGACGCCGCGCGAAUCCAGUCCCUUGCCACCCUAUCGCGAAAUGACCCCUCCGCUUUGUGGGAAUAUUAUUACAAUUUAUCGAGAC